UACGUAGGGUGCAAGCGUUGUCCGGAAUUAUUGGGCGUAAAGAGCUCGUAGGCGGUUUGUUGCGUCGGCUGUGAAAUCCCGAGGCUCAACCUCGGGUCUGCAGUCGAUACGAGCAAACUAGAGUGUUGCAGGGGAGACUGGAAUUCCUGGUGUAGCGGUGAAAUGCGCAGAUAUCAGGAGGAACACCGGUGGCGAAGGCGGGUCUCUGGGCAAACAACUGACGUGGAGGGAGCGAA
rnacentral:rRNA from 1 species